UGAGAGGGGCUGCUCCUAGUACGAGAGGACCGGAGUGGACGAACCUCUGGUGUUCCGGUUGUCACGCCAGUGGCAUUGCCGGGUAGCUAUGUUCGGAAAAGAUAACCGCUGAAAGCAUCUAAGCGGGAAACUUGCCUCAAGAUGAGAUCUCACUGGGAACUUGAUUCCCCUGAAGGGCCGUCGAAGACUACGACGUUGAUAGGCUGGGUGUGUAAGCGUUGUGAGGCGUUGAGCUAACCAGUACUAAUUGCCCGUGAGGCUUGACCAUAUAACACCCAAACA
rnacentral:rRNA from 1 species